CAAUAGCGUAUAUUAAAGUUGUUGCGGUUAAAAGCUCGUAGUUGGAUUUCUGCUGAGGACGACCGGUCCGCCCUCUGGGUGAGUAUCUGGUUCGGCCUGGGCAUCUUCUUGGAGAGCGUAGCUGCACUUGACUGUGUGGUGCGGUAUCCAGGACUUUUACUUUGAGGAAAUUAGAGUGUUUCAAGCAGGCACACGCCUUGAAUACAUUAGCAUGGAAUAAUGGAAUAGGACUACGGUCUCUUUGUUGGUUUGAGGGACUGCAGUAAUGAUUAAUAGGGAUAGUUGGGGGCAUUAGUAUUUAAUUGUCAGAGGUGGAAUUCUCGGAUUUGUUAAAGACUAACUUAUGCGAAAGCAUUUGCCAAGGAUGUUUUCAUUAAUCAAGAACGAAAGUUAGGGGAUCAAAGACGAUUAGAUACCAU
rnacentral:rRNA from 1 species